rnacentral:rRNA from 1 species
CCUACGGGAGGCAGCAGUGGGGGAUAUUGGGCAAUGGGGGGAAGCCUGACCCAGCAACGCCGCGUGAAGGAAGAAGGCUUUCGGGUUGUAAACUUCUAUCGACAGGGAAGAGCAGAUGACGGUACCUGUCGAAUAAGCCACGGCUAACUACGUGCCAGCAGCCGCGGUAAUACGUAGGGGGCAAGCGUUGUCCGGAAUUACUGGGUGUAAAGGGUGCGUAGGCGGAGGUGUAAGUCUGCGGUCAACUUGCGGGGCUCAACCCCGUACUGCCGUGGAAACUGCAUUCCUUGAGUGCGCGAGAAGUAUGCGGAAUGCGUGGGGUAGCGGUGAAAGGGAUAGAUAUGACGCAGAACUCCGGUUGCGAAGGCAGCAUACCGGAGCGCAACUGACGCGCAUGCACGAAAGCGUGGGUAUCGAACAGGAUUAGAUACCCGAGGAGUC